rnacentral:rRNA from 3 species
CAUAUCAAUAAGCGGAGGAAAAGAAACCAACAGGGAUUGCCUUAGUAACGGCGAGUGAAGCGGCAAUAGCUCAAAUUUGAAAGCUGGCCCCUUCGGGGUCCGCGUUGUAAUUUGUAGAGGAUGAUUCGGCGAGGGCUCCCGUCUAAGUCCCUUGGAACAGGGCGUCAUAGAGGGUGAGAAUCCCGUAUGUGAUGGGCUGCCUUAGCCAUGUGAAUCUCCUUCGACGAGUCGAGUUGUUUGGGAAUGCAGCUCUAAAUGGGAGGUAAAUUUCUUCUAAAGCUAAAUACCGGCCAGAGACCGAUAGCGCACAAGUAGAGUGAUCGAAAGAUGAAAAGCACUUUGGAAAGAGAGUUAAAAAGUACGUGAAAUUGUUGAAAGGGAAGCGCUUGCAGCCAGACUUGUCCGCAGUUGCUCAGCUUGUCUCCUGACAGGCGUACUCUUCUGCGGCCAGGCCAGCAUCAGUUCGGGCGGUCGGAUAAAGACCUGGGGAAUGUAGCUCCUCUCGGGGAGUGUUAUAGCCCUGGGUGCAAUGCGGCCAGCCUGGACUGAGGAUCUCGCUUCGGCUAGGAUGCUGGCGUAAUGGCUGUAAGCGGCCCGUCUUGAAACACGGACCAAGGAGUCUAACAUCUAUGCGAGUGUUUGGGUGUCAAACCCAUGCGCGUAAUGAAAGUGAACGGAGGUGGGAACCCUCACGGGUGCACCAUCGACCGAUCCUGAUGUCUUCGGAUGGAUUUGAGUAAGAGCAUAGCUGUUGGGACCCGAAAGAUGGUGAACUAUGCCUGAAUAGGGUGAAGCCAGAGGAAACUCUGGUGGAGGCUCGCAGCGGUUCUGACGUGCAAAUCGAUCGUCAAAUUUGGGUAUAGGGGCGAAAGACUAAUCGAACCAUCUAGUAGCU